rnacentral:misc_RNA from 1 species
AACUGAUACUACCUGCGGGAACCUGCGGAGGGAUCAUUACCGAGUUUACAACUCCCAAACCCCUGUGAACAUACCAAUUGUUGCCUCGGCGGAUCAGCCCGCUCCCGGUAAAACGGGACGGCCCGCCAGAGGACCCCUAAACUCUGUUUCUAUAUGUAACUUCUGAGUAAAACCAUAAAUAAAUCAAAACUUUCAGCAAUGGAUCUCU